rnacentral:tRNA from 1 species
GGUCAUUUUGUUUAGUGGUUAAGUACCUGGCUGCGAACCAGAAGGUCGGUGGUUUGAAUUCAUCAGCUGCUC